AUUGAACGCUGGCGGCAGGCUUAACACAUGCAAGUCGAGCGGGGAAAGGUAGCUUGCUACCUGACCUAGCGGCGGACGGGUGAGUAAUGCUUAGGAAUCUGCCUAUUAGUGGGGGACAACAUUCCGAAAGGAAUGCUAAUACCGCAUACGCCCUACGGGGGAAAGCAGGGGAUCUUCGGACCUUGCGCUAAUAGAUGAGCCUAAGUCAGAUUAGCUAGUUGGUGGGGUAAAGGCCUACCAAGGCGACGAUCUGUAGCGGGUCUGAGAGGAUGCUCCGCCACACUGGGACUACGACACGGCCCAGACUCCGACGGGAGGCAGCAGGGGGGAAUAUUGGACAAUGGGCGAAAGCCUGAUCCAGCCAUGCCGCGUGUGUGAAGAAGGCCUUUUGGUUGUAAAGCACUUUAAGCGAGGAGGAGGCUACUUGGAUUAAUACUCUAGGAUAGUGGACGUUACUCGCAGAAUAAGCACCGGCUAACUCUGUGCCAGCCGCCGCAGUAA
rnacentral:rRNA from 1 species